UCUUGGAAAUCUUGAACAGAGACCAUACCCGGAGUUAAGUAGCCAAAAGAAAUCAUUGCUAAAUGUUAGCUUGCUGGUGGAUUUAAGCAAAUAUUAUCAUCUGUAUAUAUCCGGCUAUACAUUUUGCGUGUACCUACACAUUUGUGUACUAAACAUUGUCAAGGGUCAUUCAUCACAGCAGAGACAUGUCUCUGAUCACAGCGACAUGUACAAAUGUAUACAUUUUAUAGUUACUACUACUCUCUAGACUAGACUAGCUCGAUAUGCACAUGUUGGGUAGAUCAAGUAGAGGCCUUGCUCGGCCACGAACACGGCCAAGGAUUGUAACAGUUGGACCAGAGACUUGGACAACAAGGCCACACCAGUUUUUAUACGACCGCAAAUUUUGAAAAAAAUUUCGUCGUAUAUUGCUAUCACGUUGGCGUCGUCGUCGUCGUCGUCGUCGUCGUCGUCGUCGUCGUCGUCCGAAUACUUUUAGUUUUCGCACUCUAACUUUAGUAAAAGUGAAUAGAAAUCUAUGAAAUUUUAACACAAGGUUUAUGACCAUAAAAGGAAGGCUGGUAUUGAUUUUGGGAGUUUUGGUCCCAACAUUUUAGGAAUUAGGGGCCAAAAAGGGCCCAAAUAAGCAUUUUCUUGGUUUUCGCACUAUAACUUUAGUUUAAGUUAAUAGAAAUCUAUGAAAUUUUGACACAAGGUUUAUGACCACAAAAGAAAGGUUGGGAUUGAUUUUGGGAGUUUUGGUUUCAACAGUUUAGGAAUUAGGGGCCUAAAAAGGGCCCAAAUAAGCAUUAUUCUUGGUUUUCGCACAAUAACUUUAGUUAAAGUAAAUAGAAAUCAAUGAAAUUUAAACACAAUGUUUAUGACCACAAAAGGAAGGUUGGUAUUGAUUUUGGGAGUUUCGGUCCCAACAGUUUAGGAAUUAGGGGCCAAAAAGGGACCCAAAUAAGCAUUUUUCUUGGUUUUCGCACCAUAGCGUUAGUAUAAGUAAAUAGAAAUCUAUGAAAUUUAAACACAAGGUUUAUGACUAUUAAAGGAAGGUUGGUAUUGAUUUUGGGAGUUUUAGUCCCAACAGUUAAGGAAAAAGGGGCCCAAAGGGUCCAAAAUUAAAUUUUGUUUGAUUUCAUCAAAAUUGAAUAAUUGGGGUUCUGUAAUAUGCCGAAUCUAACUGUGUAUGUAGAUUCUUAAUUUUUGGUCCCGUUUUCAAAUUGGUCUACAUUAAGGUCCAAAGGGUUCAAAAUUAAACUUAGUUUGAUUUUAACAAAAAUUGAAACCUUUGGGUUCUUUGAUAUGCUGAAUCUAAAAAUGUACUUAGAUUUUUGAUUAUUGGCCCAGUUUUCAAGUUGGUCCAAAUCGAGGUCCAAAAUUAAACAUUGUUUGAUUUCAUCAAAAAUUGAAUAAUUGGGUUUCUUUGAUAUGCCAAAUCUAACUGUGUAUGUAGAUUCUUAAUUUUUGGUCCAGUUUUAAAAUUGGUCUAAAUUAAAGUGCAAAGGGUCCAAAAUUAAACUUAGUUUGAUUUUAACAAAAAUUAAAUUCUUGGGCCUCUUUGAUAUGCUGAAUCUAAACAUGUACUUAGAUUUUUGAUUAUGGGCCCAGUUUUCAAGUUGGUCCAAAUCAGGAUCUAAAAUUAUUAUAUUAAGUAUUGUGCAAUAGCAAGUCUUUUCAAUUGCACAGUAUUGUGCAAUGGCAAGAAAUAUCUUAUUUCACAAUAUUGUGAAAUAGCUAUUUUUUUUUUAAUUAAGAGUUAUCUUUCUUUGUCCAGUAUAGUCAGCAAGAAAUAUCUGCAAGAAUUUUUUUUAAUUGGAGUUAUCUUUCUUUGUCCAGAAUCAACUUAAAUCUUUGUUAUAUACAAUAUACAAUGUAUAUU